UCCGAAAUGGUGUAAUGGUUAACAUCGCCGUCUCUCAUUGGACGAAAACGGUCGUCAGAUGGUACCACGGCAGCUCGGGGUUCGAUUCCCCGUUUCGGAG